UUUUAAAUAUUAAGGGCAGAGAGGCUGAAUUUUCAUGAUUAGAAUAGGGCUCCAAAAAUUUUAAGUCAGAUCUGAUUAGAAAACAAAUAAGCUAAAUUUUUGUUACCAAUAUGGCAGAUCAAAUUUCGUGUUCAAAAUGUGAGUUAUCCACAAAUUCCGGUCGAGCAACCAUAAGAAUCAAAGCCAUUUGCACCUAUGUUGGUUACUGGUUCGUUAGAUCAUGAUGGUUUAGGCCCUGUUUCUUGGUGGUGUGCAGAAGAGAUUGAGGUUGAUGAUGAGUAAAGGUGAGUUCAAAAGGUGGUGAAAUUUUGGUCAAGUGAAGAUGUCACUCCUAGGUUUUUUGUUUAGCCUAUAAGAUUAGGUUUAGAAGUUGGUUUGGUCUGAUAGAUGUAGGUUGCUCAUGUCGCUGAAGAUUAGGUCUUGUUCAAUUACUUUGCUUUGUAAACUGUUUAAUUUAGUUUAAUAGAAUCAGUGUUUGUCUUUGAAUU